AAACAUUAGGAAUUGGACCUGGCUGGACCUUUUCCGUUGAAUGAGGAAUUCAUUCUUACAGCCAAUAGUCCAAGAGAGUGCCGUGAUAUUGGCAUGGUGCUUACUGGUGAUGUCCCCACUGGUUUGCAUGCUUAUUCUUGGGCGAAAAAACGGCUCUGUUGGCUUCUAUGAUUCUCUGAGCAGUUGUAUGCCUACGUCCGUGGCUGCGUUGAAGAGAAUCGACAGGUGGUCUUCGUGAUCGCUAGAAUCAAUGAGUACCAGAUAGGUGCCGCCAACAAAAACCCCAUUUUUGAACUUUUUUACAAGAAAACAUUUCUAGUCUUAUCGGUGGAUCACUCGGUUCAUAGAUCGAUGAAGAACGCAGCCAACUGCGAUAUAUGGUGUGAACUGCAGAUAUUUUGAACACCAAGAAUUCGAAUGCACAUUGCGCCACUGGAUAUCUAUCCUUUGGCACAUCUGGCUCAGGGUCGUAAAUACCAAACGAAAGCAAAUUCGUUGAUUAUGACAGAUUCAUGGCAAAACUAGCGGGUGCUUUUCCGCUGGUGUCAUGUUUUUGUGAAGGGACUUGCCUACCGGAUGAUUUUGGCUGUUGAUAUACGUCUUUGCUAAUCUAGACGGAAUCGACUGGCUAUUUCGCUCUGGACGAUAGUUGG
rnacentral:rRNA from 1 species